UGGGGAAUAUUGCACAAUGGGGGAAACCCUGAUGCAGCGACGCCUCGUGAACGAAGAAGGUAUUCGUAUCGUAAAGUUCUGUCCUAUGGGAAGAUAAUGACAGUACCAUAGAAGAAAGCUCCGGCUAAAUACUUGCCAGCAGCCGCGGUAAUACGUAUGGAGCGAGCGUUGUCCGGAAUUAUUGGGCGUAAAGGGUACGCAGGCGGUUUAAUAAGUCGAAUGUUAAAGAUCGGGGCUCAACCCCGCAAAGCAUUGGAAACUGAUAAAAUUGAGGAGUGGAGAGGAAAGUGGAAGUCCUAGUGUAGUGGUGAAAAACGUAGAAAAUAGGAGGAAAACCAGUAGCGAAGGAGACUGUCUGGACACAAACUGACGCUGAGGUAAGAAAGCGUGGGGAGCAAACAGG
rnacentral:rRNA from 1 species